rnacentral:sRNA from 1 species
GCUGGGCGUGGUGGUGUGCACCUGUAAUCCCAGCAGCUGGGGAGGCUGAGGUAGGAGGAUUGUGAGUUCAAAGCCAGUCUCAUCAACUUAGUGAAGCCCUAUGCAACUAAGUGAGACCCUGUCUCUA